rnacentral:lncRNA from 1 species
GCAAUGAAAGCAGUCUGUGUGGAGAGAUUGAAAUGCAUUUCAAAGCCAGGCCUGACUAGGGGGGCACGGAGAACAGACCUAUGAGCUUUCCCCAGGAAGGGAAAAAGUGAAUGGAGAAUGGGAGAGAUGCGGGAGCUGUGGACCGGGGUGUUGAAGUUACCGUGGUUCUGUGGACUCAGUCGUCUCCAGUGGGGCUGAAGUUGGACGUCUCGCUGUCCAGGAGACGGAGCAGUCUGAGCUGGGAAAGUUUGGAGCUACGCGUGAUCGGAAAGAACGAGGAUUUCUUCGCACUAGCCCCUCUUCACCCGUCGGGACCGGAAGGAUGUGUGGAUUGAUGGCUUAAGAACAAAAUGAACUGGAAUUUUUUGAGUCCUUUGAGGCCUGCUCGGAUAUUUCCAUCCCUUCCUCCCAAGUCACCACCUCCUUCAGUGGAAUAGAAGCCUGGCUGCCUCAGUAUCUUCAGGAGAGCCACGGUGACCACAGUAGCUUUCUCUUCAAAAUGACAACUAUCUCGUCUCCUCAGACUCCAUUAACUCCACCAGCAGUCAGAAGAAAACUCACAAAAUGGAGGUUGGGAAGCUUGAUCUCUAGAACAUUCACAGGACGACAGGAUGAGAGAAAACAGGGGAUUGCAGAGGCAAAGCUAGGCUAGGUCUUGGAGGCUGGUGUAAGGCGGUGCGUGAAGGCAGGACGCUGAUGGGAGAGACUGGUCGAAGAAAAGCCGAAAUGGAUUCUCCGUGCCUUGGAUGG